rnacentral:rRNA from 1 species
CCCCUAGAUGUUCUGGGCCGCACGCGCGCUACACUGAACAGUUCAACAAGUCUUAACCUUGGCCGAUAGGUCUGGGUAAUCUUUGAACGCUGUUCGUGAUUGGGAUAGACCUUUGCAAUUAUGGGUCUUCAGCGAGGAAUUCCUAGUAAACGCAAGUCAUCAGCUUGCAUUGAUUACGUCCCUGCCCUUUGUACACACCGCCCGUCGCACCUACCGAUUGAAUGGUCCGGUGAAAUCUCGGGACGGCGGCUUGGUCGCUUGCGUCCGACUGCUGAAACUUGAUUAAACCAUAUCAUUUAGAGGAAGGUGAAGUCGUAACA